GACGAACGCUGGCGGCGUGCUUAACACAUGCAAGUCGAGCGGUAAGGCCCUUUCGGGGUACGACGAGCGGCGAACGGGUAGAGUAACACGUGGGUGGACCUCGCCCUCCAGCUCUGGGAGUAAGCCUGGGAAACCGGGUACGUAAUACUGGAUAUGACUCCAUGACGCAUGUUGUGGGGUGGAAAGACCUUGUGCGGCUGAGGAUGGG
rnacentral:rRNA from 1 species